rnacentral:rRNA from 1 species
UACGUAGGUGGCAAGCGUUGUCCGGAAUUACUGGGUGUAAAGCGCGUGUAGGCGGGAGGCCAAGUCUGCUGUGAAAUCGCCCGGCUCAACUGGGCGGGGUCGGUGGAAACUGGUCACCUGGAGGACGGUAGAGGCGAGUGGAAUUCCCGGUGUAGUGGUGAAAUGCGUAGAGAUCGGGAGGAACACCAGUGGCGAAGGCGGCUCGCUG